rnacentral:ncRNA from 1 species
UCAAAGGCGUUGAACGGUAAUAGUAAAUAGCAUCUUGUUCUCAGAGAGUCGAUGGGUGGUGCGAAUCGACAAUAAGAGCUGUUGAAUCCGACCGGGAGCUGCGCGGGGGUAAAAAACCUGCGACGGAAAUUUCCGUUAUCAAAUAGAGACUGUGUUGGCAGUGAAAAAAGGUGGUACCACGUGGAUGUUGAUCCCCGUCCUUUAC